AGAGUCUUCUGGAGGGACAUUACAAAUAAUCAGGCACUCCCAGUGCUGGGAGCUAAGUUCUGUUACAGGGAAGAGAAAGAAACAAUGGGAAUACCAAGGAGGAUAUUUACAGAGGGGGAAGGCUUUGAGCUGAAAUUGAACGGUGAAUAAAGGCUGAGCAGCCAUGGUGAGAUGGGGGGAGACUCUUCUGAAUGGUGUGGUGGCGGAAGUGGGGGUGGGGGGGAUGCAACAGUCUUGUUGGACUGGAACAUAGAGUUCAAAUGGCGGAAUUUCAGAGCUUUGACGCUCUACUAUUAAGAAGGUCCAGCAAGUUCUGCCGUGAACAGUUGUGCUCAUAGCUAGCUGUGUGAUCUUGAACAAGUUUCUUUGUCUCCAAAACCUAGUUUUGUUACAGGUAGAUAGGCAAGAGUGGGCUCUCCCCCGACGCACUAGAAAUGUCGGAUGACAGUUCCACAGUUAUCGCAUUGCCUCUCUAAAAAUCAUAAUUCAGCAGCCAGGGAGAGACAAUCUCCUGAUGGUCCAUAACCUUGACAUUAAAAGUGUUAACUGAAUACAGAUCCCAGGGAGAAGCAGAUUCUUGGGCAUGUGUGUUAAGAGAUAAAAUGGCAAAGUAUGACUUUCCGGGGUACACGCCACAGGAAAAAGGAAAAAGUCUCAGGUGGGCAUGCGUGUAACUCCCUAAACGCACUGCGCGUGCUCAAUUCCAAAGGCUAAGGAAAGCAUUGCGCAUGCGGGAAACCCACGCUGAGGGAAGAAUCAUGGGAAAGAGGUGAGCCUGUAAAGUUUUAGGAUCAAGGUUAAAGGCCCUUUUUUGCUCUCUUCUCUCUUGGACCUUCAGGCGACGGCUUGGGUAUCUUCCAAGCGAAUUUUCCUUUCUUUCCUGUUCUUUUUUUUUUUUGAGACGGAGUCUUGCUCUGUCGCCCAGGCUGGAGUGCAGUGGCGUGAUGUCGGCUCACUGCAAGCUCCGCCUCCCGGGUUCACGCCAUUCUCCUGCUUCAGCCUCCUGAGUAGCUGGGGCUACAGGCGCCCGCCACCACGCCCGGCUAAUUUUUUUGUAUUUUUUUUUUUAGUAGAGACGGGGUUCCACCGUGUUAGCCAGGAUGGUCUCGAUUUCCUGACCUCGUCAUCCUCCCGCCUUGGCCUCCCAAAGUGCUGGGAUUACAGGCUUGAGCCACCGCGCCCCGCUCUUUCGUGUUCCAAAGGCUUUUUAAAUAAACUUCCACUCCUGUCCUGGAUUCUGCUUUAUGGCCCUCAGUCGAAUUCUUUCUUCUGAGGAGGCAAGGACUGAAGUUGCUUCUGACCAGUACAGGAUUGGGAAGGAGAAAGUCACUUGACUCACAGGCCAACUGCUAUGGACUGAAUUGUGUCUUCCCCUCAUUAAUAUGUUGAAACCCUAUCCUCCCUCCAAUGUGAUGGUAUUUGCAGAUGGGGCUUUUGGGAAGUAAUGAAGUUUAGAUGAGGCAUGAGGGCUGGAUGGAUAUGAUCAGAUGAGUGCCCAAAGAAGAGACACCAGAGAGCUAGCUUCUUCUUUCUCUUUCCACCUUUACACACUGAGAAAAGGCCAAGUGAGCACACACCAAGAAGGCAGCCAUCUGCAAACCCAAGGAGAGAGUCCUCACUAGACACCCUGCUGGUACCUUGAUCUUGGACUUCUAGCCUCCAGAACUGUGAGAAAUAAAUUCCUGUUGUUCAAGCUAGUAUUAAUACCUGGUGUUUUGUUAUGGCAGCCUAAGUGACUAAGACACCAACUUAAUUUACUUAGCCAGGGUCAAUCAGUGGUAGGGCCCAGGAUUCUG
rnacentral:lncRNA from 10 species